rnacentral:rRNA from 1 species
AUUGAACGCUGGCGGCAGGCUUAACACAUGCAAGUCGAGCGGGGGAAGGUAGCUUGCUACCGGACCUAGCGGCGGACGGGUGAGUAAUGCUUAGGAAUCUGCCUAUUAGUGGGGGACAACAUCUCGAAAGGGAUGCUAAUACCGCAUACGUCCUACGGGAGAAAGCAGGGGAUCUUCGGACCUUGCGCUAAUAGAUGAGCCUAAGUCGGAUUAGCUAGUUGGUGGGGUAAAGGCCUCCCAAGGCGACGAUCUGUAGCGGGUCUGAGAGGAUGAUCCGCCACGCUGGGACUGAGCCACGGCCCAGACUCCUACGGGAGGCAGCAGUGGGGAAUAUUGGACAAUGGGGGGAACCCUGAUCCAGCCAUGCCGCGUGUGUGAAGAAGGCCUUAUGGUUGUAAAGCACUUUAAGCGAGGAGGAGGCUACUCUAGUUAAUACCUAGGGAUAGUGGACGUUACUCGCAGAAUAAGCACCGGCUAACUCUGUGCCAGCCGCCGCAGUAA